rnacentral:rRNA from 1 species
GACGAACGCUGGCGGCGUGCUUAACACAUGCAAGUCGAACGGACAGGCCCUGCUUUUGUGGGGUGCUCGAGUGGCGAACGGGUGAGUAACACGUGAGUAACCUGCCCUUGUCUUUGGGAUAACUUCAGGAAACUGGGGCUAUUACCGGAUAGGAGCUCCUGCUGCAUGGUGGGGGUUGGAAAGUUUCGGCGGUUGGGGAUGGACUCGCGGCUUAUCAGCUUCUUGGUGGGGUAGUGGCUUACCAAGGCUUUGACGGGUAGCCGGCCUGGGAGGGUGACCGGCCACAAUGGGACUGAGAGACGCACCAGACGCCUACGGGAGGCAGCAGUGGGGAAUAUUGCACAAUGGGCGGAAGCCUGAUGCAGCAACGCCGCGUGCGGGAUGACGGCCUUCGGGUUGUAAACCGCUUUCGCCUGUGACGAAGCGUGAGUGACGGUAAUGGGUAAAGAAGCACCGGCUAACUACGUG